rnacentral:rRNA from 1 species
ACUCCGUACGGGAGGCAGCAGUGGGGAAUAUUGCACAAUGGGCGCAAGCCUGAUGCAGCCAUGCCGCGUGUGUGAAGAAGGCCUUCGGGUUGUAAAGCACUUUCAGUCGUGAGGAAGGUAGUGUAGUUAAUAGCUGCAUUAUUUGACGUUAGCGACAGAAGAAGCACCGGCUAACUCCGUGCCAGCAGCCGCGGUAAUACGGAGGGUGCGAGCGUUAAUCGGAAUUACUGGGCGUAAAGCGCAUGCAGGUGGUUUGUUAAGUCAGAUGUGAAAGCCCGGGGCUCAACCUCGGAAUAGCAUUUGAAACUGGCAGACUAGAGUACUGUAGAGGGGGGUAGAAUUUCAGGUGUAGCGGUGAAAUGCGUAGAGAUCUGAAGGAAUACCGGUGGCGAAGGCGGCCCCCUGGACAGAUACUGACACUCAGAUGCGAAAGCGUGGGGAGCAAACAGGAUUAGAUACCCUGGUAGCAC